rnacentral:rRNA from 1 species
UACGAAGGGGGCUAGCGUUGUUCGGAAUCACUGGGCGUAAAGGGCGCGUAGGCGGCCUGAUAAGUCGGGGGUGAAAGCCUGUGGCUCAACCACAGAAUUGCCUUCGAUACUGUUAGGCUUGAGACCGGAAGAGGUAAGUGGAACUGCGAGUGUAGAGGUGAAAUUCGUAGAUAUUCGCAAGAAUACCAGUGGCGAAGGCGGCUUACUGGUCCGGUUCUGACGCUGAGGCGCGAAAGCGUGGGGAGCAAACAGG